GACUACCGGGGUAUCUAAGCCUGUUCGCUACCCACGCUUUCGCGCCUCAGCGUCAGGUACAGUCCAGAAAGUCGCCUUCGCCACUGGUGUUCCUCCUAAUAUCUACGCAUUUCACCGCUACACUAGGAAUUCCACUUUCCUCUCCUGCCCUCAAGAGAUCCAGUUUAAAGUGCAGUCUGAAGGUUAAGCCCUCAGUUUUCACACCUUACUUAAAUCCCCGCCUACGCGCCCUUUACGCCCAGUAAUUCCGGACAACGCUCGCUCCCUACGUAUUACCGCGGCUGCUGGCACGUAGUUAGCCGGAGCUUCCUCCUUAGGUACCGUCAGGUAUAUAAAUUGUUCACUUAUAUACGGUUCUUCCCUAAAGACAGAGCUUUACGACCCGAAGGCCUUCUUCACUCACGCGGCGUUGCUCCGUCAGGCUUGCGCCCAUUGCGGAAGAUUCCCCACUGCAGCCACCCGUAGG
rnacentral:rRNA from 1 species